rnacentral:lncRNA from 1 species
CGAGCCCUAGUAUCUGAGCUGCCUACAUAUCCUUGGCUAUAAAGGAAUCAUGCCACGUGUAGUUCAGAAGUGAGUGAGAUGAUGGAGUAUACCGAGGUGGAGAGCCGAUCGAGGUGCCAUUCUGUCGAGGUUCCGGUCUGCGGUCCUGUUAUUACAUCAAAAUAAAAAAAUUAAAAAAAAAGACUAACUAAGCCUGUCAACUAUGAGUUACAAGAUUCCUAUCUAUAAGUCUUCUGAAGCUUGAUCUUGAGUCUUGAAUGGUUCUACAUGCAGACUUUGGAUUUGAACCUUGACGCUUGCUAGUUGCAGGUGCUAGUUCAUUCUUCUCCAGCUUUUCGGAUUAAAAUCGGACUUCACACCAUGCUUGUGACUUCAGUCAUGUCUUGAGCAGCUCACAUCUUUCAUCAACUUCUGCAUUUGGAUUCACUUCUUGCCUUUCUUUUUUUUAAUUAUAGAUUGUGACUAACUUUCGUUGAUCAUCUCGGACUGUUGACUCGUAUUCUUGCCGCGAGCUUCUUUUGUUGCUGACUUGAAUUGCAUAAACCUGUGUUGUCUUCCUUUGAAACUUGAAUUGCUUUCCUUGUUCUCCAGGUGGGUGCCUGAUUGCCAAAACUUGAACUGUAUUCCCUUGCUCUCAGGGUGGGCGCCUGAUUGCCAAGACUUUAACUGUAUUCCCUUGCUCUCCAGGUGGGCGCCUGAUUGCCAAACUUUAACUGCAUUCCCUUGCUCUCCAGGUGGAUUGCCAAGACUUAAACUGUAUUCCCUUGCUCUCUAGGUGAGCGCCUGAUUGCCAAACUUUAACUGCAUUCCCUUGCUCUCCAGGUGGGCACCUGAUUACCAAAAUUUUAACUGCAUUCCCUUGUUCUCCAAGCGGGCGCCUGAUUGCCAAAACUUCAACUGUAUUCUCUUGCUCUUCAGGUAGGCGUCUGAUUGCCAAAAUAUGAACUGAUUUUCCUCGAAACUUGACAUGUUUCUCCUUGUUCUCCAGGUGGGUGCCUGAUUUCCAACACUUGCGCAUGUUUUUCCUUGAGACUUGAACUGUUUCUCCUUGAAACUUGACAUGUUUCUCCUUGUUCUCUAGGUGGGUGCCUGAUUUCCAACACUUGCGCAUGUUUUUCCUUGAGACUUGAACUGCUUCUCCUUGUUCUCCAGGUGGGUGUCUGAUUUCCAACACUUGCAUAUGUUUUUCCUUGAGACUUGAACUGCUUCUCCUUGUUCUCCAGCUGAGCGCCUGAUUUCCAACACUUGCACUGCUUUUCUUUGAAACUUGCACUGCUUCUCCUUAUUCUCCAGGUGGGCGCCUGAUUCCGACACUUGCAUUGCUUUUCUUUGAAACUGUUUUCCCUUGAAACUUGAACUGGCUUCCCUUGUUCUCCAGGUGGGCGCCUGAUUGCUGAACUUGACCCGCUUUCCUUUGAAACUUGAGUUGUUUUCUCUUAUUCUCCAGGUGGGCGCCUGAUUACUGAACCUGAAUUGUCCUCUUCUUGAAACUGCUUUUCUUUUGAACUGUCUUCCCUUGUUUCCCCAGGUGGGUGCCUGAUUGCUUGAACAUGAACUUCUUUCUAUUCUUGAAACUCAUGUUGUCUUCCCUUAUUCUCCAGGUGGGUGCCUGAUUUCAACAAAACAGACAAAACAAAAGAAAUUUUUCUGCUCUAGUUUGAUAUUGGGAACAUCUGUAAGUAUUAACCGAUUCUUGUUAUCAAAAUAAAUACUAAGCUAAAUUCCCUUAUCCUGAAAGAUUUCAAACCAAGUCUCAUCUCAAAAGUGAAAAUUUUAAAUGCUAAACUAUACUUCCCAAAAGUAAAACUCUUGUCAGACCUUGUCACUUGCGAGGAUCUCAAAACUUACUAAAUUUCGUUAUCCAGGAGGGUACUAGAAACUUACUGCCGAGCCUAUCUGGCACCUGCUUUUCUUACGGAGGGUUUCUCCAAAACAAACAAAAUUUCAUGCCCCUGUUUCAACCAAAGAAAACUUGUGAGUUUAAACAUGGUGGUUGGUUUGCGGCCUUGACUUUGAAGGCGAUUGUUCCUUUACUUCCCAUGAUAACUUCGAUUUCACCUCGAAAGACCUUGCCUGUUUAUUGACUGACCACUUACUCUGUCACUCUUAUCACGAAAAAUACCUCUGAUCCGUUCGAACCCAAUACCAUUCAUCUAUUGUAUUAUGCUCAUGCAUUGACAUAUACUGAACCUUUGUAUUUCACAUGAAUCCCAAAGCACGUCAAUUGUCACCCACUUAGUGUGCAUGCUGUUCUUUCCUGACUUAACCCACUAGUCUUGACCUUGAGGUCUAUUGCUCCUUCACUUGCCAUGAUAACUUUGAUUUCCGCUUGGAAGACCUUGCUUGUCAUUGGUUAACCACUUUCUCUGUCAACCUUAUCACAGAAAAUACCUUUGAUCUGUUCACCCAACAUCCAUUCAUCUGUUGCAUUGUUCAUGAAUUGACAUAUACCAAACCUUUGUAUUUCACAUGAAUCCCAAAGCACGUUGAUUGUUACCAACUCAGUGCGCACGCUAUUUUUUCCUGACUUAUGCCACUUUGAUAUGCUAGUCAGAUUCCAUUUUGUGCAAUUGGAAAGCUGGUGGCAAAAUUUGAAGUCAUUUCUCACUUGUUCUGACCAAACAGACUCAGGGAGAGAAAGUAAACAAGACAAAAGGAACAGAGUGAAGGACAAUGGAAAGAGAUGAUUCCUAACAAGAAAACUAUAAAGUAGAAACUUAUNNNNNNNNNNNNNNNNNNNNNNNNNUUAUCCACUCUGAUUCAUGAUCCUUAUUCGACUUGUAGUGCCCGAAGGGUUUCACCAUCAAGCCUCUCACAUUUUGUUCUUUCUCUCAACUCACCAUCGCCUUAUGGUGUCUGUGAAGGUUUUCGCCAAUAAGUCUCUCAUUUUGUUCUUUUCUUCUUAUUUCCUCUGAUUCUGCAGAUGACAAGGCAUUAACCAUGGUAAAUACAUCACAUACUAUUGGCAUGUCUAAACUCAGCACUCUCAAAGAUUAUCUGGGAGGUCUUUUUGGAUUGUGAUGUGGCUUUUGGAUAAGGUUAGAAAGAAAGGAUAUCAUAAAGGCUCAAAAUAACUAGGACAAUGGGGUUAAUUUAUUUAUAACUUUUGGAAUCUAUUCUAAAAACUUUGCCCCAAUUUCUAAAACAAGGGAAUUUGAUUCUCUUUUUUUUCCUUUCUUUUUACUAAGAAAAACUGUCCCACUCUCGACUUCGUGGGAUUGUGAAAUAUUUUAUUUGAUAUGACCGAACCGUAAGGCUGCCUACGUAUCUUGUGGUGACAAGAAUUAGGUCAAACGUAGUUCACACGACUACUUUUGUUACUAUUUUCCUUUUUCUUUUUUUCUUUUUUUUCUUUUUCCUUUUUUUUUCUUUUUCUCUUUUUUCUUUAUCUCUAUUUUUUCUCUUUUUUUUGAAUUUUCCUUUUGGAAUGAACUUUCUAAAAUAAACAUAUGGGGACAUGAACUUUUUUUUUAGUACGACUCUAACUUGAUUCCAAAAGAGGGGAGGUCAAAGAAAUCAAUACAAGCUCAAAAGGGGUACCAAAGGGUAUAAAGUGUUUGGAUAACUAAAAGAGGGCUUCCCAAUCUCUAAGAAAACCAAGUAUAACACAUACAACUUGAAAAUGAAAAUGAAGAUCAUGCAUAGCAUUUCUUUUGCAGCAUCGGCAUUGGUAUCAUUGAUAUGCCUUCCACUUUUUUUAGUGUUUUGUCAAGUACAGAACCCUCGUUGGGUGAUUCCCUCUUCACAAUGGAUAUCCUCCGUCAAUUUAGAGAAAACUUCCUUGACUUUAUCUUGUAACUUGAGAUGCACUUGAACUCAAAGUUGCUUGCUUCAAAUCGUCCAGGAUGCACUCCCCCUUAACGAAUUCUUGUCACCCUAUCAACUUUCCAAAUUAUCUGCCCAGUUUCACACAAUUCGAGCUUUAAGUGAUCUCAAAAAUCCUUUUACUUACUUUCCUCAAAUGUCCCUAUCAUCUUCAAAAUUAUUUUAUUGCUUCAUGAUUAAGCUAACUUUUAAGACCAGGCCUAGAAUUAUGCGUGCAUGUCAUGUCACUAGAGUCAGCAGGAAAAGAACUAUAAAAGGAAAAGAGAACUAAACAAACACUGACUAGAAAUAACAGAAAACAGGAAAUUACAUUAGACAAAUGUUGACAAGGUUUGAACAACAAGACAAGCAAAAUAAACUGGGUACAACCCUGGAAUAAACCUAGAUAACACUAAAUAAGUUACUACGACUAAAGGAACUAGGCAAAAUAAAAGGGAUGGAAGGGUUUGAGUCACAAUACAAUAUCCGGAUUACAACCCUGAAAUAACCCGGACAAAAGAAAUGACAACAAAAUGAACCACCAAAACUCCUCCCUGGCUAGCCAAGAAAGGGGCGUCUUUCCAAUUACCAAGCUCGGUAUCUUAGCCACUGAGUUCCACAUCAAUAUCACUGGGACCUUCACCAACUUCAAUCAUGUUGUCUUCACCAAGUGGCUCAUUGACUCCUUUGACCAACCCUUUGUCACAACCCAAACCGAUGGGCCGCGACGGGCACCCGGUACCUUACUCAACCGAGUACCAAUGUAACGUAUCUUUCUUAUUACAUCAUCAUAUACACGUGACAUACGGGCCUAAUAGGCUAACAUAAUCAUUUAUAGACUCAAAAAAUAGGCCGACAAGGUCGUACAAUCUUUCACGUACAAGACAUAUGUCUACAAUCCUCUAAGAAUACAUAAAUGUCAUAAAGGUCGGGACAGAGUCCCGUCAUGCCAAACAAUACACAUCUAAAUCAUACUAACCAAAUGAGCAACUCCGAAGCAAAUGGAGCGCACCAACAUCUUUCACUGAGCUGAUAGCCUACUUGGAGGGCUCUCGACCUGUCUAUUGGGACCUGCGGGCAUGAAACGCAGCGUCCCCAGGCAAAAGGGAUGUCAGCACGAAUAAUGUACCGAGUAUGUAAGGUACAUAAAUAAAUACAUAAGAGACAUGGAAAACAUAUAGAGUACAUGACUCAACCUGUAAGUAUGAAUAACUUUGUAGAUCAUAAAUUACUUUUAGCGUCAUGCAUGUGCGUAUGAAUGUCAUGUCGUGCAUAGGUACAUGUUUCAUAACAUCAUCAGCCUCUGAGGGCAUUCCAUUAUAUCAUACCGGCCACUGUGGGCAAAAUCAUCAUCGUAUACCAGCUGAUCAGGUGGUGGUGCGUAUAUAACGCCAUAACCUUUCCCAUAUCCCAUAUACAUAUAUUUACAUAUAUACGCGUAUAUAACGCCGUUUGAGUACAUACAUAUAUAUGCGUAUAUAACGUCGUUUGAAUCAUAUUUCAGUCACUGUAGGCAACAUCAUCAUCAUAUAUCAGCUGAUCAGGUGGUGAUGCGUAUAUAACACUGUAACCUUUUCCCAUAUCCCAUAUACAUAUAUUUACACAUAUACGCGUAUAUAACGAUAUCUGGUCAUGGGUCAGUGCACAUGAAUGCAGUGCAUAAAAAGUACGUCAAUAAAAUUAUUCGGAAUGUCAUAAGACCAUUUUGCCUCUGAGUAAUAUCAUAAAGUAAACUCUUUUCAACUUUCGUAUUUUUCUGAGAACCAUGAACAGAUGAUAAGACAUUAUAACACACGGAAAUUCAAGAACACAGAUAUCUCUAAUACUUCUAUGAAUAGAGUCAUUCGUGGAAUUUGUGCAUUUGCACGUUCCGUUCAUAUCGUAUGGAUCAUGCCAAAAGAAAGAAGGGAUAGCCUUAACAUACCUGAAGUAGGAAAGACUCAAUAUAAUACUGUGUUGGAAAACCUUCGUUGAUUAAGCUAAAUUUGCCCCUGCUUCUUUAGAAAUUCACAGAUGAAAUUUUAUCUGGUUCCUUGAAUUUCUUUGGAACGAUUCACAUUUUUGGCUUUGAUGGAAUAAGGUUCUGUAUCUUUACGUUUUUGUUUUUUUUUAAACCAAAGAAUGCAAUGUUGUUUGGUUUUUAAUGAAGCAAAAUGUUUCUAAUUUAAUGGAAUGUCGUUCGCUUUUUUUUUUAAGCCCAAAGGCAGAUUGUUUUCUGAAGCCUUUUCAAGACCAAAUGUCUUGGAUAAAUCAAAUCUUAUCAGACAAAGACUUAAGUUAUCACAUCUUGGCCAUUUGGCAAAGUGAAUACUUAGUCAUUUCCAAUUGUUGUGGCUUCUUGCCACGUGGGUAGGGGUGGGAUAUUAAUUUUUAUCCACUUAUUAGUUAACUGGGUAAUGUCCUGUUACUCGGUAAUUAAUCAAUUACCCGUAUAAUUUUAAAAAUUANNNNNNNNNNNNNNNNNNNNNNNNNNNNNNNNNNNNNNNNNNNNNNNNNNNNNNNNNNNNNNNNNNNNNNNNNNNNNNNNNNNNNNNNNNNNNNNNNNNNNNNNNNNNNNNNNNNNNNNNNNNNNNNNNNNNNNNNNNNNNNNNNNNNNNNNNNNNNNNNNNNNNNNNNNNNNNNNNNNNNNNNNNNNNNNNNNNNNNNNNNNNNNNNNNNNNNNNNNNNNNNNNNNNNNNNNNNNNNNNNNNNNNNNNNNNNNNNNNNNNNNNNNNNNNNNNNNNNNNNNNNNNNNNNNNNNUACUAGUUUAUAAUUAUCGGGUAUUAUCGCUCGACCCGUAUUUUAUUCCAAAUUGACUACUUUCAACGAAACUCGUUUUCUCUAAUUCGUAUACCCUCUUAUUCUUCAUAACACUUAUUUAUUGCCUGCUAUAAAUAGCGUAAGUACGUUAACGUCAAGAUGAUCUCAUUCCCGAUCUUACAUCGGUUAACUGAAAAUGAAAUUUUAACGUACAAUACUUUAGGGUGCAACAUCGUUGUAACUUAAUACUGCGAAACGUGACAUCACCAUAAUGUAAUACUGUGGGACGUGACAUCUCAUUUCCGGGCUCUCAUUAAUUUAUUUAUGGUGUAUUUUCAUGUACGAAAAUAUGGGGUGUAACACCCUUCGUCAUUGCAAACCAUCCCAACAAUCUGUGCGUUGUCAUGUACCUGUAGAGAAUUAUGUGUGACACUUGGGGUAUUACUGCCUUGGACCACAAUUAUUCCUUCUUGAAUCAUUCUUUCUAUUUCCCUUUUCAAAGCACGACAAUCUUUAAUGCUAUGCCCUUGGACAUUAGAGUGGUACAUGCACCGUAUAGUACGAUUAAAACCUUUUGCAUAUGGGUCUAGCGUAUAGCCGAGGAGCGGCUCAAUCAGACCAGAAUGUUUUAACUUUCCAAACAGGCUUGUAUAGGAUUCUCCUAUUGGCGUGAAACUAUUUCUUUGUCUUUGUUUCCCUUCAUGCCCCAGUUUUCUAGAGUUGUUGGAUGCUCGAAAGUGCUGUGAAGGAAAAAGUGCAUUAUGCGGUGCUGGCGCUCGCCAUGAGGAAUGACCCAGUGGUUGGACAGAUGACCGAAUGUUGUUCGGAAGAUAAUACUGGGGUGAAUUAUGUGGUGCUUGGGGAUGUUCAUAGGGUCAGUAUUGAGGCUGAAAGCGUUUAGCAGGAAUGCCCCCCGGAUCCUGUCGUUGGCGGGACUCAGCAACGUCUUUUCUAUCAAUGGGAGGACUGUCCCGAGCAACUUGUUCGUUCAUCUGAACCAAAAUUUCCUAAAAAUUUCCUUGGGUUUCUUUUCCAUCUAAGAUAUGGAGGAGCGGUCUGAGACAAUAUCUAUAUUGUACUGAAAGUGUCGUACAAAAUCUCGAGCCAUGUCAUCUCAUGUAUGCCACUUACCGACAUCUUGAUGAGUAUGCCAUUCCAAAGCUGCCCCAGUCAGGCUCUCACUGAAAUACGCCAUCAGCAACUCAUCUUUCCCGCCAACACUUAUCAUUUUACUGCAAUAACCCCUCAGAUGGGCUAUUGGAUCUCCACGCCCAUCAUACAAAUUAAACUUUGGGAUCUUAAACCCUUUCAGCUUUCUGGAUAUCUCAUCUUGCUCCACUGUCUUAGCAGGAUUUACAGUCUCAUCGGGAGGCUCAAAAUGAGGAACGUAAGAGUAUGGACCCGAGAUCUUGAAAAUUGGUUCUGGAGCAUAGUGUUGGGCAUUGGAGAUUUUGAACACAAUCUCGCUAAAGGAUCGAGGAAAGGUAGCAGGUGGAUGAGCCACAAAAAUAUGAGUGGUCAAAGGAGCGGGAUAUGAGGUGGUUCUGGGGGUGGAGUGUGAAAAGGUUGUGGGGAGAUAUCUCGGACUUAUGACAGUGGCGGAAUGGUGACAAGGCUUUUAGUGUAGUUAGUGGGAACUGAUGGUGGAGGACGCCCACUAAUCCAGGCUUGGUAUAUUUCGGUCAUCUAUCCUUUCAACCUUAAAACUUCUUCUUUCAACUCAGAUUCUGAUUCAACAAUUCCCUUAGACAGAUCAAUAAAGUCCAAAUCUUUGCUAGCCAUAGUUACCUUGCUCUUUGACCUUGUGUUGUAUGGAUGAGUUACUUAAGAACCACAAACCAACCACCCUUCUGCUUAAUGAAGAUAACAAAAGGAACAAAAUGGGGUCAUCCUGUUAGCAUUAGGACAUUUAACAGCUAAAAAUAUCACAUUGUGUGCAAUGCACCUAGCAAUAAUUAAUGGUUCUAGAAUGACUUCGAGGGUCACAAGGUCACUUGACAUCAUCCCAAUUUGUUCCCUUCAAUCAUCUCUUUUCGUUUCUUUUCUAGCACUUGCUUGCUCAUUUUCCUUACUUUCUUUUUCUUACUGAUUAUCGCUCUUUUCUUUCCUCUCAUUUCUCACGUCCCACAACUUCAUCCUCUUUUUUCGUAUUUCUUUAUUUUUCUUUUAAUAAAAAAAUGAUUCAAUCGAACCUUAUGUAGGUUGCCUACGUAUCAUAAUGCUGCAUGAAUCAUAUCAUUGCGUAGUUCGGGAAGAUCAGGAAUAAAGUAAACAAAGUAACAUUUUCUUUUUUUUUUUCUUUUCUUUUUCUUUUCUUUAACGAAUACUGUGAUGAGAAAUUAUAAAGGAAAAACCCCUAGAAGAGAAAAAAUAUUUUUUGAUUUUUUUUCCUUUUUAAGAAGGAAAUCUUAAGGCUAAACCAAAGAAAAAAUAUUUUGAAUUUUCAUUUGAUAUCUCUGAAGAAAGAUUUCGAAACGAGAAAUGAACAAGAUAAAAAAUAUUUUUGGAUUUCAGUUUGAUUACCUAAGGGAGAAACACUGAAAAUAAACCAAAGAUAAAGUAUGUUGUUUUCUUUUUCUUUUAUGUACAAUGUCCUAAAGUUAUAGUAAAAAUAAAAAGAAUUUUUUUCUAUUCAUUUUCCAUUAAUUUCCCAAAGAAGAACAUCAAAAGAAAAUCUUUUUGGAUUUUUGGAAUUAAUAUCUUAAAGAAAACUUUUAAAAAGGUACUAAAAGGAAGUUCUUUUUUUUUUUGAAUUUUUAGUUUUAAUAUACUAAAGGAAAUAUAAAAUUACUUUUUUAUUUUGAGUUCUAGAUAUUAAUUUCCUAAAGGAAAACCACCUUAAAAGAAUUUUUUUAUUUCUAGAAUUAGUAUUCUAAAGAAAACUUCUAACAGAAAUAUAAAACACAAAACCUCUUUUUUUGGAUUUUUGAGUUACAACACACCUUUUAAAAUAUAAAGUAGAAAGUACAAUAACAAAAGACUCGACAUUACUGUACAAAACUAAAAAGUAAAAGAUGACAUAAAAUGAAGAACAGACUCAAAACAUAAAAAAUAAAAAAAAUCUCCUUAAGUCACUCCUGAAUGAGCGAUCCUGACUGGAUGGUCCCGGGUCAUACCCAAACUCCGGUAAGUAGGUCCAUACAUGUAUGAGAAAAUUAAGACCAAAUAAAGUUAAAGACCUAGAACGCUACGUGGGACAAUAACCCUUCCUGUUGGACACAUGCAAGACAUGAUUGUGACUAUUUUUCUAAAAUUAACCUAUGUGGCUAAAAGUGACUAAAAAUACAAGAUUUGGCUAAAACCCUGCGAAGCCAAGAACUUAAGACUUACUAGAAAAACUGGACCCUAUGUGGGUUGCCUACGUACCCAAAAGAUGAGAAUCAGGUAUGCGUAGUUCGGGCAGAUUGGAUACGACAAGAAUUAUAAAAAACAACUAAUUUAGAGAAAAUAUAUUUUUUGUCCUUUUUUUCUUGAAAAAUGAUGAAAUAUGUAAAAUCUUUUGGAUUUUCUUCUUCCUUUUUUUUUAUUUUUGGAAAAUGAUGGGAAAGUGCAAAAUCUUUAUGGAUUUUUCAUAUAUUUUUUUGGGUCUUUUUCUUAAAAAAAAAAAAAAGUGAAAGAAAAACAUAAUUGCGCCCUACUUGCUUUACUUUCAUACUUCACCCUUUUUUUCUUUCUCAUUUACCCUCAGCCAUCAUUGGUCUGCCACAUGACCCUUUUACCCUUGAAGAAAUGUAACAUGUAGCACAAAGGAUGCAUCAGGAUGGUCUUUUAUUUUUGGGUACACUUGACCUAGACGGACCCAGCCCUUAUGUUAAGUCCCCUAAGUCAAAUGCACAUGAUGCAACAAACGUUCCUACUAGGGAUCCAGCAUGAGGCUAUGUUAUUCUAGGUUUAAAAACCUGGGUUUAUUUGUUCUAGACCUGGCUUACCCGAGCGGACAGCUCGAGCCGAGGGGGGCAGCGUACCGGGAAUACAGAAGCUUCACCGGCUUUGCAACUUGUCUGAACCUCGUUCUAAAGAUUGGGAUAUGACUCUAACAGAAGAGAAGUCACAUGAAGUGUACAUUUCCCAGAUGAUUUAGAAGACUCAAAGAGAGGAGGGUUUCGUAACAUUAUAUAUAUACAGUCCAAACAACAUCAAAGCGGUAAAAAGCAGCAAUUAGCACAUUAGGCUCAAAUAUAUAAAAAUCAGAUAAUAAAUAAAAGCCAACUAUAGCAGUUAUUCUAAGCUCGAAUUUUGAACCCUGAACCAAAAGUUCUGGGUUCUUAUCCCCAGCAGAGUCGUCAAAGCUGCCACAUCUUCUUUUUACUACCCCAAAAGGGAUAUAAGGGAGCUUGUCCAAUUUAAGUGACAAUCGAAACAGGAUUAUUUUGUUUAUUCAGAGUCACCACUUGGGAUAAUUUAUGGUGUCCCAAGUCACCGGUUAAAAUCCCGAAUCGAGGAAGUUGAUUCUAUUUACGGUCUGCGAAUAUAGAAAUCCGGGUAAGGAAUUCUGUUAAUCCGUGAGAAGGUGUUAGGCAUUUCUGGGUUCUGUGGUUUUAGCACGGUCGCUCAACUAUUAACAAUUGACCUAAUUAUCUGAUUAACUAUACAUUUUAAACUUACGUGCAUUUUUAACUUUAUCACAACUUUUAAUGUUUUUUAGGAAAAUUCAAGAUCAUUUAAAGCACAUCGUAAGCCACGCUACAUGAAAUGCACCCGUGGUUCACGACAUGUUCUAUUUAACCUUGUUGAAAAUUAGAAUCGGGUCACAUGAAUGUACAUCCGGAUUGGAGAUUACGUAUCGUGACCAUGCCACGGGAACCGUACCCAUAAUCACGAUGAUUAUUUACACGCCGAAAAGUUGCCUAAACAUACGGCUAGCGAUUAAAAUAGUAAAGUAAAUAAUUAACAUGAAAAUUUCGACUUUUCAACCUUAACGCCCAACCCUGCAACCAUCACAUAGAUCAUUAACUGUGCUUCCCUAAUACUUACAUAAAUUUACUACAAAGAAAACUAAUUAACUACAGUGAUAGAAAACAUAACACUUAGAGAAGAGCAUUGCUUUGAAAUACGACAAAAUCAUGAAAAAGAUAAAGAAAGAAAAGGUGAAAAGCUAACAAUAAGAACGGGAAAAAUUAAAGGUAUUUUUAACCCAUUUUAAUGACUACCAAAGUUCUUAGAAUCUGAAAGAGGUAUUACUGCCAAGAAUUUUAUAACAAGCAAAAUUUCAGAAAAAGAAAGGAAAUAAGCAUUAGCAAAAAAACGUGUUUGAAAAUUUAUUCUAACAUUUAAAUUACCCAAAUGUCAUAAUUUGAAAUUGAGAUAGAUAAUUCCACUAAUAUAAUGUCAAAAUACGUUCAUCCCUUCCAUUUUUAUUCUAGUUAAAUAAAAGAUUACGACAAAGAGAGAGUGAACCUUUGCAAUUGCUGAAACUUCCUCAAAAAUGGACUAAGUGGGAUGUUGACCGGAUCAGAAACCACGCCGACGACCUCGAACGGACCUCAUCAACCCAAAAAAUUCACCGGGUAAACUCGAACCUCUUGAACCCAACUCGAAAUUCUAGCUAAACAGUUCAAUGAUGGAGUGGAGUUGUCAGAUUGUCGGACUCAGAGUAACUAGUAGCUAGCACCGGUGGAGAACAGCAUAUUCGCGAGGAAAUGAGGAAUUGAGGAUGGAUCUGUUUGUUACUUUUAAGGAUUACAUUUCUUAUUCCUAAUUGUUGUUUUGUAGAGAUUUGUUUAUUCCUAAUUUUAUAUUAUAAAACAAGAAAGAGGGAUUGAGAAGGUGCAGCGGGGUGUUGAUUCUUGUGUUAAUUUUGUGUGAGAGAGGAAGGGAACGUUGGGGGUGUGCUCAACGGGUGUAAUGGCUGCUUUUCAUUUUUGUGCAUAUGUCUUAAGUGUUUCCAAUGAGAAGACGAUUAGGGGAGGGUCUAGGAUUUAGGGGGUCUGCGGCGGAUCUCUCUAGGUAGGGAUCUAGGGUCUUGUUUGUUUUAUAGGGGUUUUUUAGGUUAGGAGGUAUCGACCUAGGAAUUAUGGGCUUGGGAAUUAUGGGCUAGAUCCGAAAAUUAGGCCUAAAAAUGGGUCGUUUGAGCCCAAAUUUUAUUCUUU